CUAGUACUCCCUCCCUCUCAAAAUUAUUGUCUUAAAUUUAUCUAGAUACGGAUGUAUCUGCUAACACUAAAAUGUGAAUAGAUACAUCCGUAUGUAGACAAAUCUAAGACAAGAAUUUUGGGACAGAGGGAGUAGAUG
rfam:Triticum aestivum genome assembly, contig: Triticum_aestivum_CS42_TGACv1_scaffold_289276_4AL